rnacentral:rRNA from 1 species
UACAGAGGGUGCAAGCGUUAAUCGGAAUUACUGGGCGUAAAGCGUGCGCAGGCGGCUGUGCAAGACAGGUGUGAAAUCCCCGGGCUUAACCUGGGAACUGCACUUGUGACUGCAUGGCUGGAGUACGGCAGAGGGGGAUGGAAUUCCGCGUGUAGCAGUGAAAUGCGUAGAUAUGCGGAGGAACACCGAUGGCGAAGGCAAUCCCCUGGGCCUGUACUGACGCUCAUGCACGAAAGCGUGGGGAGCAAACAGG